CCCAUAGACCUUCCUAACUCUAAGGCUUGUAACCCUGCAUGUGCCUCUGCCGCGAAUGGAAUUGCUGUGUUAGUAUGAAUAACUGAUUUUGAGACCAAAAUCUCCCCUCCCUCGCCUCGAACAAUCAAUCCCGAAGCAGAUCUUGCAUGUUGCUGAUCAAAGGCCGCAUCAAAGUAGACUGAUCUACUCAUUCUACUCACUUCAGUUCUUGAAUCGCCAUUUCCAGCCAAUAUA
rnacentral:lncRNA from 1 species